rnacentral:lncRNA from 1 species
AUGUCCCAGCACACAGAUCUCCAGUCUCUGGGUGGAUUCUUUCAAGAGUUCACUCACUCUCAACCUCUGGGAUUAGAAGCACCAGAAAUUGCAGAUUCCAAGGAGAGGCCUACUGAUGUUGCUGUUGUGAAUGACGGCCAUCUCUGGGGGAUUUUCUGCUUUCUUCUGUCCCGUACGAGGCUACUGACCCGCUGACCCCAACCAUGCUCACAGUGGAGAGGAAGGCCAUCUUCGUCAUCCUCACCCUCAUGAUCAUCAUCUGCAUUUUCAUCAGAAGUCACAAGGAAACUGAUCUUCAAAGGGAGGGUCCGGUCUUGAAAAUAACGUAACCCCCGUCCGUAUAUUUCAUGGUGAAAAAGAAUAUCGGGCAACCCAAGCCUAGGAUGUUGUGAUGUUCAUGACAGGAAUUGGUCUUUCCAUUGAUACGGUUUUCUUUGCUCCCUCAUGGUCGGCGCUUUGUGCUUUUGGCCUCGUAUAACUUAACGGGCGCGUAUCAAAUGUGUCCGGGCCAUGUAUUGAGAAGACUAUAUUCAAUCCAAUUGUUUUAAUAAUGACUUGUAUUAAAUUAAAAGUCACAUUUUAAGAUCUUGGGUGACGUUAACUAGUAUAAAACCUGACACUUGCUUGGUCACAAUGUCCACAUAACUUACUAUUAAAAUGUCUCGAAUAUCGAUCACUUUGAAUAUGAAUGGAACAGCUUUAAGGAAUCCAAACUUUUGUAUCACAACUUAGUAAGAACAUGGCUUCCUUUUCUUUGGAAUACAAGCAACAAUAACUUCCCUUCUAUGGCAACAAGAACUGGUUUGUUACCAAUAAGGCACCAAUCCGAUCAUUCUGAUUAGGAUGGUGCAGCAUUUGACAUUCAAGGCAUCCAUGUUCCGCGUUUUAACUCUGUAUUUUCUCUGUGUAUCCUAGUAGAACACAUACAUAUUUUCUCCUGCGAGUGGUUCUUUGGGGGAAGCCCUUCUUUUCUCCUCUGCAUGCGAGACCUUUCCGAUACAGCAUAUAUUUUCCAAGAAAGGGAGCAAUCGCAAUCCUUGGGAUAGAAGACACCUUUUUUGCUCCCCCUCUCUUGUGUGCUCUUCUUGUCCUCCCAAUGUGUUUCAUUCUAUCUUGUUUUUGUUAACAGUGCAGACACGCACACACACUUGCCUGUGAGUGCCUACAUACUCCCAAAACAAUGUGCAGAGUGACUAAUUUCUCCUAGGCAU